AUAUUGGACAAUGGGGGCAACCCUGAUCCAGCCAUGCCGCGUGAGUGAAGAAGGCCUUAGGGUUGUAAAGCUCUUUCGGCGGUGACGAUGAUGACGGUAACCGCAGAAGAAGCCCCGGCUAACUCCGUGCCAGCAGCCGCGGUAAUACGGAGGGGGCAAGCGUUGUUCGGAAUUACUGGGCGUAAAGGGCGCGUAGGCGGUUUUGCAAGUCAGAGGUGAAAGCCCUGGGCUCAACCUGGGAGGUGCCUUUGAAACUGCGGGACUUGAGUACGGGAGAGGAUGGCGGGAUUCCCAGUGUAGAGGUGAAAUUCGUAGAUAUUGGGAAGAACACCGGUGGCGAAGGCGGCCAUCUGGACCGUAACUGACGCUGAGGCGCGAAAGCGUGGGGAGCAAAC
rnacentral:rRNA from 1 species